rnacentral:rRNA from 1 species
GAGUUUGAUCGUGGCUCAGGAUGAACGCUGGCGGCGUGCUUAAGACAUGCAAGUCGAACGCAGUCGCUCCGCAAGGGGCGGCUGAGUGGCGAAUGGGUGCGUAACACGUAGGUGACCUGCCCAGAAGUGGGGAAUAACAGUCCGAAAGGACUGCUAAUACCGCAUGUGGUGCGAGGGUUUUGAAGCCUCGUACGAAAGGUGCUCGCAAGAGUGCCGCUUCUGGAGGGGCCUGCGGCCCAUCAGCUAGUUGGUAGGGUAACGGCCUACCAAGGCGACGACGGGUAGGGGACCUGAGAGGGUGACCCCCCCACACUGGCACUGACACACGGGCCAGACUCCUACGGGAGGCAGCAGUCGGGAAUAUUGCACAAUGGACGAAAGUCUGAUGCAGCAACGCCGCGUGCGCGAUGAAGGCCUU